rnacentral:rRNA from 1 species
UACGAAGGGGGCUAGCGUUGCUCGGAAUCACUGGGCGUAAAGGGUGCGUAGGCGGGUCUUUAAGUCAGGGGUGAAAUCCUGGAGCUCAACUCCAGAACUGCCUUUGAUACUGAGGAUCUUGAGUUCGGGGAGAGGUGAGUGGAACUGCGAGUGUAGAGGUGAAAUUCGUAGAUAUUCGCAAAGAACACCAGUGGCGAAGGCGGCUCACUGGCCCGAUACUGACGCUGAGGCACGAAAAGCGUGGGGGAGCAAACAGG